rnacentral:misc_RNA from 1 species
GAUGAAGAACGUAGUGAAAUGCGAUAAGUAGUGUGAAUUGCAGAAUUCAGUGAAUCAUCGAAUCUUUGAACGCACAUUGCGCCCUUUGGUAUUCCAAAGGGCAUGCCUGUUCGAGCGUCAUUUGUACCCUCAAGCUUUGCUUGGUGUUGGGCGUCUUGUCUCUAGCUUUGCUGGAGACUCGCCUUAAAGUAAUUGGCAGCCGGCCUACUGGUUUCGGAGCGCAGCACAAGUCGCACUCUCUAUCAGCAAAGGUCUAGCAUCCAUUAAGCCUUUUUUUCAACUUUUGACCUCGGAUCAGGUAGGGAUACCCGCUGAACUUAAGCAUAUCAAUAAGCGGACGA